rnacentral:ncRNA from 1 species
GCCAGAGCCCCUUUACGGGUCUCCGGAUGGUUCCUGAACCUAAGGACCCAUCUGUGUCUCGACAGCCCACAAGGCAGUUCGACGAGGUUGCGACUGGAACGAAGUUGUCCUGAGGGACGGGGAAGCGAUUCAAACGUAGCAGCCUGUAUGACACCGGAGCGGCGGUAUGCUCUUCAAGCUAUCAGCUUGAGCAAAACACGCCAUCCAGCGCAUCGACUGUAACGUAC